rnacentral:rRNA from 1 species
AUUGAACGCUGGCGGCAUGCCUUACACAUGCAAGUCGAACGGCAGCACGGGAGCAAUCCUGGUGGCGAGUGGCGAACGGGUGAGUAAAGUAUCGGAACGUGCCCAGUCGUGGGGGAUAACGUAGCGAAAGUUACGCUAAUACCGCAUACGAUCUAUGGAUGAAAGCGGGGGAUCGCAAGACCUCGCGCGAUUGGAGCGGCCGAUAUCAGAUUAGGUAGUUGGUGGGGUGAAGGCCCACCAAGCCGACGAUCUGUAGCUGGUCUGAGAGGACGACCAGCCACACUGGGACUGAGACAGGGCCCAGACUCCUACGGGAGGAAGCAGUGGGGAAUUUUGGACAAUGGGCGAAAGCCUGAUCCAGCCAUGCGGCGUGCAGGAUGAAGGCCUUCGGGUUGUAAACUGCUUUUGUACGGAACGAAAAGGUUUGGCCUAAUAAGCUGAGCUCAUGACAGUACCGUAAGAAUAAGCACCGGCUAACUACGUGCCAGCAGCCGCCGUAA